rnacentral:rRNA from 1 species
GACGAACGCUGGCGGCGCGCUUAACACAUGCAAGUCGAACGGAAAGGCCUGCUUUCCCUUGUGGAUUGCGGGUACUCGAGUGGCGAACGGGUGAGUAACACGUGAGUGAUCUGCCCCCAACUUGGGUAUAAGCCUGGGAAACUGGGUCUAAUUCCCGAUAGGACUGCAGGGUGGUGCCUGUGGUGGAAAACGAUUUUCUAGUGGUUGGGGAUGAGCUCGCGGCCUAUCAGCUUGUUGGUGGGGUAAUGGCCUACAAAGGCGGCGACGGGUAGCCGGCCGGGGAGGGUGGACGGCCACAUUGGGACUGAGUUACGGCCCAGACUCCUACGGGAGGCAGCAGUGGGGAAUAUUGCACAAGGGGCGGAAGCCUGAUGCAGCGACGCCGCGUGGGGGAUGACGGCCUUCGGGUUGUAAACUCCUUUCGACCGCGAGGAAGCCACCUGGUUGGAAGGGUGGUGACGGUAGUGGUAGAAGAAGCACCGGCUAACUACGUG